GUUUCAACAGUUAUGUGAUUGCAUAAUGUGGAGAGGCUUGCUUUUGGAAGGAACAGAGAGAAGAGGAUACUUUUUUUAAAACAAUUUCCUAAAGAAGGUGAAGACUCCUGUUCUUGGCUAGUGAUGUUCGACCACAUAAAGAGAGAGAGAGACCCACAACCCAUUUUUGGUCUCUCCAUUGCCCACACACCAUUUUCACUUUUACAUCCUUCUUCAUUGUCUAGCUACUGUUUUGUGACACUUUAAGAGCUCCCAAUGCAGUUUUGAGCAGUUCCUUUUGUUCCUCACCACACA
rnacentral:misc_RNA from 1 species